UGGUAUUGAUUGGUGCUUGCAUCAUGAUUUACAUUUGAGUGAGUGGCGAACUGGUGAGUAACACGUGGGAAACCUGCCCAGAAGCGGGGGAUAACACCUGGAAACAGAUGCUAAUACCGCAUAACAACUUGGACCGCAUGGUCCGAGCUUGAAAGAUGGCUUCGGCUAUCACUUUUGGAUGGUCCCGCGGCGUAUUAGCUAGAUGGUGGGGUAACGGCUCACCAUGGCAAUGAUACGUAGCCGACCUGAGAGGGUAAUCGGCCACAUUGGGACUGAGACACGGCCCAAACUCCUACGGGAGGCAGCAGUAGGGAAUCUUCCACAAUGGACGAAAGUCUGAUGGAGCAACGCCGCGUGAGUGAAGAAGGGUUUCGGCUCGUAAAACUCUGUUGUUAAAGAAGAACAUAUCUGAGAGUAACUGUUCAGGUAUUGACGGUAUUUAACCAGAAAGCCACGGCUAACUACGUGCCAGCAGCCGCGGUAAUACGUAGGUGGCAAGCGUUGUCCGGAUUUAUUGGGCGUAAAGCGAGCGCAGGCGGUUUUUUAAGUCUGAUGUGAAAGCCUUCGGCUCAACCGAAGAAGUGCAUCGGAAACUGGGAAACUUGAGUGCAGAAGAGGACAGUGGAACUCCAUGUGUAGCGGUGAAAUGCGUAGAUAUAUGGAAGAACACCAGUGGCGAAGGCGGCUGUCUGGUCUGUAACUGACGCUGAGGCUCGAAAGUAUGGGUAGCAAACAGGAUUAGAUACCCUGGUAGUCCAUACCGUAAACGAUGAAUGCUAAGUGUUGGAGGGUUUCCGCCCUUCAGUGCUGCAGCUAACGCAUUAAGCAUUCCGCCUGGGGAGUACGGCCGCAAGGCUGAAACUCAAAGGAAUUGACGGGGGCCCGCACAAGCGGUGGAGCAUGUGGUUUAAUUCGAAGCUACGCGAAGAACCUUACCAGGUCUUGACAUACUAUGCAAAUCUAAGAGAUUAGACGUUCCCUUCGGGGACAUGGAUACAGGUGGUGCAUGGUUGUCGUCAGCUCGUGUCGUGAGAUGUUGGGUUAAGUCCCGCAACGAGCGCAACCCUUAUUAUCAGUUGCCAGCAUUAAGUUGGGCACUCUGGUGAGACUGCCGGUGACAAACCGGAGGAAGGUGGGGAUGACGUCAAAUCAUCAUGCCCCUUAUGACCUGGGCUACACACGUGCUACAAUGGAUGGUACAACGAGUUGCGAACUCGCGAGAGUAAGCUAAUCUCUUAAAGCCAUUCUCAGUUCGGAUUGUAGGCUGCAACUCGCCUACAUGAAGUCGGAAUCGCUAGUAAUCGCGGAUCAGCAUGCCGCGGUGAAUACGUUCCCGGGCCUUGUACACACCGCCCGUCACACCAUGAGAGUUUGUAUUACCCAAAGUCGGUGGGGUAACC
rnacentral:rRNA from 1 species